GCCUCCAACACUCCAGGGAAAACAGCCCCAGCCUAUUCAGCCUCUUCCCAAAGCUCAAACGUCAAAGGCGGCCAACAUCCUUGUAGAUUUUUCCUGUUUAGCUACAUCUUUCCUAUAUCAGGGAGACCAACAUUGAACACAGUACGCUACAAGUGGCUGAAGCAAUGUCCUGUCCAGCUGCAACAUGACAUCCCAAGUUGCAUACUUAAUGUACUGACCAAUGAAGGCAAGUCUGCCAAAUGCCUUCUUCACCACCCUGUCUACCUGUGACUCCACUUUCAACGAACGCUGCGCCUACUCCCCUUGGUUUCUUUGUUUGGCAACACUCCCAGAGACGUGCCAUGCCUUGAUUUGCCUUACCAAAAUGUAAUACCUCAUAUUUAUCGAAAUUAAACUCCAUCAUCCACUCCUUGGCCCAUUGGCCUCCAUGUCCCUUGGGUAGAUGCCUAUGUAUUACUCAUUCUAUGUAUUAUUCCUUCUGCACUAUAACACUUCUGUGAUAUCCUGUGUGGUAUUGCUUGAAGUGGUGGUGAUAGUUUCCCUGCUACACCUCAAACUUGAUGUGAGACUCAGUCAGGGUCUCUCUGUAUUAAUGUCUCUUCAGAGUGACAGUGCAACUGACAGUGUCAUGUUCCAACUCAAGGUCUCAGUUCAACUUCGGUGCGAUGGAAUUGUUUGACCUGCUCGCAGUUGCUGGGCUGGGCUGGGCCAUUGCAGGCUUGGCUUUAGUGUUGAUGCUGGUACGGAGCCUUUGAGCAGUUAGCAGUGAAGCAGGAGUGUCUCUCUGGCACUUGGGUUACACGAACUGUUAUGGGACAGCCAUUGGCAGCAGGAGUCCUGGUGGACCCUUCACUUUGUGGAACAGAGGUGCUAUGUCGGAUUGUCUCAGCAUGCCAGGCCGAUGCCCUGGUUGAGAUCAGUUCGUUAAAACUCGCAGCAUGACUGUUCAUAUGUUUUUGGGUGGUGAGCUGCUGCUUCUCAAGGGUGACUUUAUUGAAGAAUGCCCUUUUUCCUCCCGGAGACAUGGACUCGCUUGAAGAUCAGCUGGAGCUGCUUCUGAAGGGAGAGGGCAUUGGAGUGCAGGGCUACAUCUCUCCCCUGGAAGAAGUGGGGCUGCUAACUGUGCAGAAGACAGUCUGCUACAUCGUCGCUGCAGUCAUACUGAAUG